CUCAAUUUAGGAAAUACUGAGCACUCGCUCGCCAAAAUUACGCCUGCUCUGCGGGCGAUCAGCCGCUUUAUCUACGGCAAUGUCCGCUUAUUAUACACCAUAACCAGGGUUUACAUGGGAAUCUAAACAAGGUUCGUGACUUCCACCAUACCGAGAUUUAGCUCUGUCGAAUAAGCAGAGAAAUUUGUCAGGAAACUCUCAAGAGGUCAACACACCGACAAAGAAGAGUGGUAAUGCGCGAGGUCAACUCACCGACAAACAAGAGCGGUUAUGCUAGAGCUUGAAGAAAGUUCGUAUAAUGACUGACGAAAGUAUUGCUAGUUCCUACGGAGCUACUGACAGUACACAACUUAUCAAUGAAGACGAACAAGAAACAAGAGAACGGAGUUUAGACUCCUUCUACGACGACCAAUCGAAGGGCACUGGGGACCAGAGAAUUCUACAGGGUACAGAUGAUGAAAAACGGGAAUCAGUUGAGAAUAAUGAAGAGGAAAAUGAGGGAAAACCCUGUGACGAAUCUAGUCUUUCAACUAGUAAUAGCGAAGAGCAAUACAUUCGGUCAGAAGAGAAAUCACAGAGACCCACCUGUUUGUCAUUCAGUAACGAUCAUGCACCGGGCGAGAGUCAUCACGGGGCUAUUACGCCUAGUCGGCGGCAGGUUUCAUUUAUCAGAGAAGCCAAUCAAAACGAAUCUUGUGACGCCCACCUAUCAUCAGACUCUUUGUCACGCGUUCGGGCCAUUACGAGCGGCAGUGUGUAUUACCGAACGCAUAGCGAUGCGGAGGAAUGUAAUGAAAGCGAACAGAGUUGUUGCCGUAGUAAUUCACAAAUACAACGGAGAAGAAGGCACACCAAACGUGGAGCAGUAGUUUCGGAUUCUUUCGUCAACGAAUGUAUCUGCUGCUGUGUAAUUAUUUAGAAAGUAGGUCCAUUUCUGCCUUUUUCUAACCGUACUCUAGCUAAAACUCGUGGAGAACACGCAGUUGAUAUCGACAAGUUUCGCGACAACGUCGCUCAGACAGUUUUCAAUCUUGAACUCCCAGGAGUGAUAAGCAUCUAAUUUCUCCCUACGAGAUCACCUGAGUCAAACGUUUAGAUGAGAAUAAAGUUCAUGAUCACCAACUACAAAGCUUGUUUUCGGUGGCACUCAUCCAGAUUUGUGAGAAGAGGGGAAUAGGGGUCAGAGCCACCUUAACUUUCGCUCUUUAUCUCCUUCAGUUAGGCGUAAACCUUUAUAAAAGUGUAGCUAGAUCAACUCUUCUUUAUAUUAUUAAAUGCAAUGGAGUCACCGAAUAAUUUCAUUUCAUUUUUUUCGACAGAAUUUACCAAUAUGGCGAAAUUGUAAAAAAAUAACUGAAAAAUUCACCGGAGCCGAUAGUCGGGCAGAAAUUAUAAAAAUUGCCACGGAUGCACAGUGCACAAAACAGCGUGAAACGCACUCGAUUCCCUUUCGAUCGAGGAACCUGACAGAAUUAAUGAUAAAAACAAACGCACCGCCCGAAGUGCAAGUGACCAAGACGCGGUUGAUUUUAGUUUUGCAUGCGACUGGUUCGUUGUUAGGGUGGCGCUAGUAUUCUAAAACAAUCACA
rnacentral:lncRNA from 1 species